UACGUAGGGGGCUAGCGUUGUCCGGAUUUAUUGGGCGUAAAGAGCGUGUAGGUGGUUUGUCGCGUUGUUCGUGAAAACCGGGGGCUUAACCCUCGGCGUGCGGGCGAGUACGGGCAGACUUGAGUACUGCAGGGAGACUGGAAUUCCUGGUGUAGCGGUGAAAUGCGCAGAUAUCAGGAGGAACACCAGCGGCGAAGGCGGCGCUCUGGGCCGGAACUGACGCUGAGGAGCGAAAGCGUGGGUAGCAAACAGG
rnacentral:rRNA from 1 species